AGCAGGAUAGGCUAUAGGAGGUACUUGACUGCAUGGAUGUGACUGGGACUUGGCUUCUCUUGCAGCAACUGGCUGAGUCCUGAUGUUUGGAUAUUUGUUGGCACUUGGUUACGGUGCCUGUUAAGAACUUGCAUGCAUUGAAGUGUCAGGGCUUUGUCAUUAGAGAGGCCUCUGUUGCUGGAUGAGAGCCCCUUGUAUAAUUUUGCUGACAGGCUUGCCCAAAGAAACCAAACAUUAGCAGCACAGAAAAGAAGUGCUUUGCCAGGUACAGAGGUUGUUAAUUGGCUGGUCUUGUGGGAGAUGCCAAGGGUUUCUUGGAGGGUAAUGACUCUGGAAGCUUUUUCUAAAGCAAAGAAUCUCAAGUAAUUGCAUCAUGCAAUAUGCAAAGCACCUGACUGCAAGUGGGGGCUGCAGGUCACUGUUUGGCAGCUAGAGUCAGCUACAGACCUGCCAAUCCUUCUUGAUAAGGGGGUUGAAUAAUUAAAUUAUUUGAAGGGGCUGUUCAGCCUGGAGAAGAGAAGGCUGUGGGGUGACCUCAUUGCAGCUUUCCAGAACCUAAAGGGAGCUUAAAAAAAGGAGGGGAGUCAACUCUUUACAAGGGUAGAUAACAGCAGGACAAGGGGAAAUAGUUUUAAGCUGAAGGAGGGAAGAUUGAGGUUGGAUGUCAGGGGAAGUUCUUUACUCUGAGAGUGGUGAGGUGCUGGAACAGCUGCCCAGAGAGGUUGUGGAUGCCCCGUCCAUCCCUGGAGGUGUUCAAGGCCAGGUUGGAUGGGGCCCUGGGCAACUUGGUCUAGUAAAUGGGGAGGUCGGUGGCCCUGCCCAGCAGGGUCCUUGGAGAUUCAUGAUCCUUGAGAUCCCUUCCAACCCAGGCCAUUCUGUGAUUCUGUGUGAUUCUGUGAUGCCAUAAUGCUACUGUUUAAGCUAUAAGACCUAACUGUAAAUCUACUGGAGGGAAAAAUCUCUGCUUGGUGCAGUAAAAAAAACUUGCAGGAAGAUGUUGGUGUAGAAAAGGGCUGUGAGAGGGACCUUGAAGGGCAAUUUCACAAAACAUGUGAAAUCAAUGGUAUUGCUUUGAUGGGAAUCUUACAUGGUAUUUGUGAAGAUGAUACUGCAGAACUAGAGAGGGUUGAGAAGAGCAACAGAAAUGGUAAAGGCUGAGGCACGCAAACCUCUUCUCUGAAGAGCCUCUGAAAACCUCUUUGUUCUCAGAGAACAGAAGGUGUGGGUUUGUCUGUAAAGGCUUUUCUAAGGGGCACCCUUCCCUUGUGCCUCUCCAGAAUGGGAGAAAUUCAAUGCAACUGAAAGGCUGAGAGAAAAAAAUCUAUUCUUCUAUGUCAUCUGUACUGAGCCUGCAGAACUGUCAAAUAGGGACUGCAGCCAGAACCAGCGUUACCAAUCAUACGCUUUGGUGGUUAAUUAAAUAGCUAGAUUGCUUAUAAUUGAAGGAGGAGGGGGAAUUCCCUCUCAUUGCAUUUAAACCAAUCUCCAUCUUCUAGGAAUAGCACAGAAUUUGUUGUCAGAAGCCGAUUAUCCCACCUGUCUGUCAGUGGGGUUUCACACAACUCCCUUUAAAAGCCUACUCUGCAAGUGACUGCUGGAAAUGAGACAUUUGGCUCAAUUCCAGCCUAGGAAUUUCUGUGCUCCCGACUGCAGAUCAUUUUUGGUCAGGAUAAUUGAACCAGAU
ensembl:lncRNA